rnacentral:rRNA from 1 species
AAACAUGUCUUUAUGAAAAUUUUACAUAAAGUCUAGCCUGCCCGCUGAAUAAAAUUGAAGGGCCGCGGUAUUCUGACCGUGCGAAGGUAGCAUAAUCAUUAGCCUUUUAAUUGAAGGAUGGAAUGAAGGGCCGGAUGAAAGAUAGGCUGUUUCUUUAAUAGGAUUUGAAUUUUACUUUUAAGUGAGAAGGCUUUAAUAUUAUAAAGUGAAGAUAAGACCCUAUAAAACUUUUAUAUACACAAGUUAGUUUUAUUUUAUUAAUAAAAAAUAAUGUGAUUAGAUUAUAUUUUGUUGGGGCGACAGGAAUAGAAUUUUCUAGAAUAUCUGUUUUUCAAUUGAAUUAAUAGUAGUUAGAUUCAUGAUCCUUUAAUAAAGAUUAAAAGAUUAAGUUACUUUAGGGAUAACAGCGUAAUUUUCUUUGAGAGUUCUUAUCGACAAGAGUAGUUGCGACCUCGAUGUUGAAUUAAAGUUACUGUAACAAGUGUAGCAGCUUGUAUACUAAGUCUGUUCGACUUUUAAAAUUUUACAUGAUUUGAGUUCAAACCGGUGCGAGCCAG